UACGUAGGGUGCAAGCGUUGUCCGGAAUUAUUGGGCGUAAAGAGCUCGUAGGCGGUUUGUCGCGUCUGCUGUGAAAACUCAGGGCUUAACCCUGAGCCUGCAGUGGGUACGGGCAGACUAGAGUGUGGUAGGGGAGAUCGGAAUUCCUGGUGUAGCGGUGGAAUGCGCAGAUAUCAGGAGGAACACCGAUGGCGAAGGCAGGUCUCUGGGCCACUACUGACGCUGAGAAGCGAAAGCAUGGGGAGCGAACAGG
rnacentral:rRNA from 1 species